ensembl:lncRNA
AGUGGAUGAAGUUAUAGUGAAACUAGAUUCUGAUUCUUACCUUUAAUCCUCCCAGGUGUUGAACUGGGAUGUUCCUGCAGUACUGUAAUGGGAGUGUUGGGGAGGGUGAGUAAGUAACACUGUCAGAACAGAAAGUCUCCUCAAGCUAUGAAGAGCUUGACGGGUUUAAUAUUGGUCCUGUAGUUUGUGGGGAUCAUGUUUCUAUGCGCAGCUGUAAAAUGGCAGGUGGUGUGAUCAUCUUCAAGGUGUGUGUGUGUGCUCAUAUACACAUGGGUGUUACACAAGCCAAUAAUUGCACUUUAAGGAGGAGGCUGAGUGGAAUUAUGCACAUGUGGAUACGGUAUGGCAGUACAAAUGCACACACAUACACACUUUACUUAAACAGCAUCAUAAGUUGGCAGUGGACUCCUUUUCCACCUCGGGUCAGGCUUAGUUCACGCACAAAGACUAAGUGAUGGUGUGUGUGUGUGUGGGUGCGUGUGUGGUAACCCUGCUCCAGUUUUAUUUUUAAAGUAAGCGUAGACAAAGGCCUCUAGUCAGCUCUGAGAACAGGACCUUGGGAACAUGACCAGUGGCUGUUGCGUCACAUAGUGUUUGUGUGUCAGUGUGUGUGUGUGUGUUUCAUUAUUUGUGUGUGGGAGAGACAGACUGAGAGUGUCCGACUUUUGUCUUGUAAAAAAGUCACUGAAAAGGAAAGAACAAAAAAAAAUCUUGAAAAUCUUUGCCAGAUGUGCAAGCACAUACGCUCACACUGUGCCCUUAAAAGCUGGCUCAGCGGCCUUCCGAAUGUCAGGGGACGUCACUGAGUGAUGUCAUAGGAAGGACUUUAUAUGCGAUAGGAGGAAUUCUUCUAGCCAUACGCACACACACACACACACACACACACACACACACACACACACACACACACACAGGACCAGUGGACACAAUGACAACACCAUACCCAGAAAACAGGUUUAUGGUAAAGAAAAGAAAAAAGGGUAACAUGGAUGAGCAAAAAUAAUAAAGGGUUGAGAAGAAAGUAAAAGAAUGGAGAGGAGGUUAAUGGAGAGGAGAUGAGAGGAAAGGAGAAAGAAAUACAGUUGAAUGAGCAGGAAUAAGAGGCACAAAGUUAGAGAAGAGAUAACAGGACAGGAGGAAAGAGGAUUACACAAGAGAAAGAAGAGAUGAGAUGAUUUGAUAGAAGCUGCGAGGAAAGAAGAUUGAAUGGAAAGAAUGAGCAGAGGAAACUAGGAGUGGAAAUAAAGAGGAGAGGAGUCAAAAGGGAGGACAGGGGAGAAACUGGAGGAAAGGAAUGGAGAGGAGGAGAAAGAGAUGAUGAGGAGCCAAUGGAAGUAACGAGAGAGAAGAAGAAGCGGGAAUGGAAAGGAGGAGGAGGAGGAGGAGGAGGAAGGAGCAGGAGCAGUGGAGAGGUUAGGCAGGGAGAUGGAAGGUAGGAGAGAAGAUGAAAGGAUGAGGAGGGAAAGAAGUGAGUGGAGGAUCACCUCCCUCUCAUUCCUCUUGUCCUUUGGAAUCUUCCAAAAUCUGCAGACACCGGAGGACUCAGGGAAUCCUGGCCGCAGUGAUAUUACACACACACAAACACACACGCACACACACUUUCAGCUUAAUCUGUCCAAUUACACUGCUGCCAGCCCCCGUCUUUCAUUUCAUUCUUUCUUCCUGUGUUUUAAAGUAUUUUUUUUCCAGCGCUCAUGACGCACUCUGGCAUAAUGAAACAGUUAAGAGGAGUCCGGUACAGAGGCUGGAGCUGAGAACAAGACGGGGUGGUGGUGGUGAUGGUGGUGGUGGGUGUGUAAAGUGACACCACACCAGGGCACUAUAUUUACAACGUGCCUCUUUAACACAACGGCUAUUUAUAGCGGCCAGAUCUCUUCUCAGCUUCUGCCGCACGCUGUUGCACCGUCACAAACACAGGCAUCAGAUGGCACUGCUGGAUUUACGCUGCGCUGCUUCAGCCAAAGGGGACACGCCUUAUCCUCUAGCAUGUUCCUGCACAAACCCAACCUCACCACGCUCCAGCAGCCCCACAACCCAUUCACACACGCACCUUCUGGACAUUCGCUCCCUGCCACUGUGAAUGUUUUCACACCUUUCUUUCCUCAUUUCUUAUAGAUUUCUGUUCUCAAUAUUAAAGAAAGAAAAAAGGGACUUUUUUUUGGAGGGAUUUAAAUGUGGUUAAUUACACACAUGUGCAGCAACAUGCACAGCUGAGCAGGAAGAAAGGAAGCAUUUGGAUCCUUUACUGCUCUGAACUUAACAAUACUGCGAUUUAAUAAAAUGCCACUCAAUAAUGUCUAUUAUGUGUAUGAACACAAAGAUACUUAAAGCAGGGGCCCUGGGACAUUUUGAGGGAACAUUUUCCGACACCCUAACAAUCAUAUCAUUGAUUAUUAUUAUUAUUGAUUAUUAUUGCAUCAAGUAUUAUUUAUUAGAUAGCAGUGACUCCCACUUUAUAACAUGACACACAUAUUGCACGAAGACACACACAUCCAUCCAUCCAUCUGCAAACCGCUCAUCCUGCACACAGGGUUGCGGGGGGGCUGGAGUCUAUCCCAGCCACACGCACACAUAAACAUUAUAAAUACGGUGUCUGAGGUGAGCAUCCAGUGAAAUCAAAUAUGAAAAAGGGCAGCUGAGUAAAUGGGACAAUAUUUCCUUUUAAAUCAUAGAGGUGUAGAAAUAAUAGGAGUUAUCCCUGUUUCUGUCAUGGCUUGACUCGAGUUGUACGCACACAAAUAAACAAGCACAGCUGACUCUCAGGUUUCUGGUACAUGGAGGAAUUUAUUAACAGGAUCAUGACUGCCCCCACAGGACUGAGUCACUGUGUCUCCGUUUCUGUCACUUAGUGCACAAACACACAUACACUCUGAAGCAAAAAACCCAAUUACCCAACAUUUUAUCCUGUUUGUUCAUAUAAGUAAUGUAGAUUAAAAAAGACAAUCUAUAAUAACUUCCCACUAUGAAAUCCAGUGUUCUGAUUGGUUGAGAGUGAGUCACGAGGUGUGCAUUAUUCAUGAGCGAUGUGAAUGACUGAGAGAUCCAAUGCUGUUUCUCUAGACUACUGAAAUGCGAUACACAACGUUUGGUGGCUACAACUAUUUUGUGCUGGAAGGCAUCUAUUUACUUAGUAUUUAUAAUUUCGCUGGUAACCGUAUUAUAAAAGCAAUAAGGUUGACUUGAGGCAGGACUUAAUCUUCAAUAAUAUAACAGUUUGAGGGUUGCACGUCUGGCCUAACAACACCCCUGAACUGUUACAUUAUUGGACGAUAAAGCACAGCAUCUCGUACCUUAAUGCUUAAUUACUGUAAACACUAAAGAAAUGACUUGGCCUUGAGUGCAGGACGAAUCGAAAGUGAUUUUUAGUGUGACCUGUUCCUUUCCCUAUGGGACAUGACAGCGGACUGUGUUGACAAUGUCAGGCCUUUAAACCAAAAUACAGGUAUGAGCUGUGUUUGUAGCUGCAUGAGUGGGAGAGCUGUCGCCGUAUGCGGCUCUGAACCCUGAACUGGUUUGUGAACUGUUUGUUGGGAUUGUAGUGGUUAACCAGGUGCACGUAGACGCAGCAGAGGUGCUUACAGGUAUCCGAGUGUGCAGGGGGGGUGUCGUCCGUGGCUGUGAGUGUGUUUACUCAACAGGGUGUUAACGUCAGUCAAGGAAGUCGUGUUUAUCCUCACACGUGUCAAGAGAGAAGCAUGCGAGUGUGUGUGCGCCACUUUAUUUUGCCAUCAUCUCUUCGCUGUCCCUAAACACACACAAAUACACACACAUACGGAGGCUAACGUGUCCUGAUUCAGCCUUUGUUGAGCCAGUGUUAGUUAGUUUACCCACCAGCUGGCCAAUGCAACAACACAACAACCCAAUGGUAGUUUUCCAUGUGCGUGUUGCACGGCAGAGACAGUCUCUGAGAAACGUGGGAUUUUUGUUGUUUUAUCUAUGGUGGGCGGUGUGAGAGUAUCCCCACUGCUUCCUGCGCGCACACACACACAUCCCCAUGAUGAUCUUAGUGAUUACGCACAACAAUGUGGCACAUAGACAGAGAACAGCAUCACAAUGCAUCCACUAAUAACACACUGUAGUCAGGGUCGUCCCCUAUGUCUGUCUCUCCGGGUCCUUUGGGAGGGUGUAGGUUUGUGGCCACUUUCCCAGCUUUCCCUCGGGGGGGGUCUGUUCCAGCUGCUGCCGCUCCACGCGGUCCCAAACCUCAACCCGCCUUCACUGAGCGCAGCCUGUGCUCUGACAUCACUGCGCAGGCGUCCACGCACGGCCAGCGCGGACCGGAACCCUGCAGAGACGUCAAAGACGUGGCGACUGACCCGCGGACACGUUGGCGUCUCCCUCCGUGGAAGCUGUGGUUCUCGGGGCCUUUGAGUUGUAGCUAUUCAUGAGUUGCUAUGAAACAAGGGAUGUGUUUGAUGGAAAAAAGCAGGAUCUUAGUAAAUGGCAAAUGGAAGUAACACUGCCAGCAUUCCAGUAUAAAACAUUAGAAAGUGGUGUAAACA